GACGAACGCUGGCGGCGUGCCUAAUACAUGCAAGUAGAACGCACAGUUUAUACCGUAGCUUGCUACACCAUAGACUGUGAGUUGCGAACGGGUGAGUAACGCGUAGGUAACCUGCCUGGUAGCGGGGGAUAACUAUUGGAAACGAUAGCUAAUACCGCAUAAUAUUAAUUAUUGCAUGAUAAUUAAUUGAAAGGUGCAAUUGCACCACUACCAGAUGGACCUGCGUUGUAUUAGCUAGUAGGUGAGGUAACGGCCCACCUAGGCGACGAUACAUAGCCGACCUGAGAGGGUGAUCGGCCACACUGGGACUGAGACACGGCCCAGACUCCUACGGGAGGCAGCAGUAGGGAAUCUUCGGCAAUGGACGAAAGUCUGACCGAGCAACGCCGCGGGAGUGAAGAAGGUUGUCGGAUCGUAAAGCUCGGUUGUAAGAGAAGAACGGGUGUGAGAGUGGAAAGUUCACACUGUGACGGUAGCUUACCAGAAAGGGACGGCUAACUACGUG
rnacentral:rRNA from 1 species